rnacentral:rRNA from 1 species
GGGCCCGCACAAGCAGUGGAGUAUGUGGUUUAAUUCGAAGCAACGCGAAGAACCUUACCAGGGCUUGACAUCCCUUGAACGCCGUAGAGAUAUGGUUUCCCUUCGGGGCAAGGAGACAGGUGGUGCAUGGUUGUCGUCAGCUCGUGUCGUGAGAUGUUGGGUUAAGUCCCGCAACGAGCGCAACCCCUGUUGUUAGUUGCCAGCAUUAAGUUGGGCACUCUAGCAAGACUGCCGGUGACAAAUCGGAGGAAGGUGGGGACGACGUCAAAUCAUCAUGCCCCUUAUGUCCUGGGCUACACACGUACUACAAUGGCUAUUACAGCAGGAAGCGAAAGAGCAAUCUGGAGCAAAUCCUCAAAAAUAGUCCCAGUUCAGAUUGUGGGCUGAAACUCGCCCACAUGAAGUCGGAAUUGCUAGUAAUGGCAGGUCAGCAUACUGCCGUGAAUACGUUCCCGGGCCUU